AUUGAACGCUGGCGGCAGGCCUAACACAUGCAAGUCGAACGAGUGGCGGACGGGUGAGUCAUGUCUGGGAAACUGCCUGAUGGAGGGGGAUAACUACUGGAAACGGUAGCUAAUACCGCAUACCAUCAGAUGUGCCCAGAUUGGAUUAGCUUGUUGGUGGGGUAACGGCUCACCACGGCGACGAUCCCUAGCUGGUCUGAGAGGAUGACCAGCCACACUGGAACGAGGCAACGGUCCAGACUCCUCCGGAAGGCAGAAGUGGGGAAUAUUGCACAAGGGGCGCAAGCCUGAUGCAGCCAUGCCGCUUGUAUGAAGAGGGCCUUCGGGUUGUAAGGUACUUUCAGCGGGGAGGCGUUACCCGCAGAAGAAGCACCGGCUAACUCCGUGCCAGCAGCCGCGGUAAUAC
rnacentral:rRNA from 1 species